GAUGAACGCUGGCGGCGUGCCUAACACAUGCAAGUCGAACGGAAAGAUAAUGAGAGCUUGCCCUUAACGUUGGCGGGGGACGGGUGAGUAACGCGUGGAUAACCUACUUCUUUGUCUGGAAGAAUUACGGAAAAAAGGGUAUGAUAAUAGCGCACAUUUAGUACGGCUGGAUGCAAAGGAGAUUGGUGGCUUGCGCGAUUGAAUUAGCCGGUCUCGCGUCGGAUUAGCUAGUUGGUAAGGUAACGGCCUACCAAGGCAACGAUACGUAGCUGACCUGAGAGGGUGAUCGGCCACACUGGAACUGAGACACGGUCCAGACUCCUACGGGAGGCAGCAGUAGGGAAUCUUCGGCAAUGGGCGAAAGCCUGACCGAGCAACGCCGCGUGAGUGAUGAAGGCCUUCGGAUCGUAAAGCUCUGUUAUUAGGGAAGAACAGCUGUGGAAGUAACUGUGGCCGUCUUGACGGUACCUAAUCAAUAAGCACCGGCUAACUACGUG
rnacentral:rRNA from 1 species